rnacentral:rRNA from 1 species
UGGGGAAUCUUGGACAAUGGGCGAAAGCCUGAUCCAGCCAUGCCGCGUGGAUGAUGAAGGCCCUAGGGUUGUAAAAUCCUUUCGUUGGGGACGAUAAUGACGGUACCCAAAGAAGAAGCUCCGGCUAACUUCGUGCCAGCAGCCGCGGUAAUACGAAGGGGGCUAGCGUUGUUCGGAUUUACUGGGCGUAAAGCGCGUGUAGGCGGGUCGUUAAGUUGGGGGUGAAAUCCCGAGGCUCAACCUCGGAACUGCCUUCAAAACUGGCGACCUGGACUCAAGCAGAGGCAAGUGGAAUUGCGAGUGUAGAGGUGAAAUUCGUAGAUAUUCGCAGGAACACCAGUGGCGAAGGCGACUUGCUGGGCUUGUGGUGACGCUGAGACGCGAAAGCGUGGGGGAGCAAACAGGAUUAGAUACCCUGGUAGUCCACGCUGUAAACGAUGAGAGCUAGUUGUCGGCAUGCAUGCAUGUCGGUGACGCAGCUAACGCAUUAA